rnacentral:rRNA from 1 species
GCAGUGGGGAAUUUUCCGCAAUGGGCGAAAGCCUGACGGAGCAACGCCGCGUGUGGGAGGAAGGUUUUAGGACUGUAAACCACUUUUCUCAGGGAAGAAGAUCUGACGGUACCUGAGGAAUCAGCAUCGGCUAAUUCCGUGCCAGCAGCCGCGGUAAUACGGGAGAUGCAAGCGUUAUCCGGAAUUAUUGGGCGUAAAGCGUCCGCAGGCGGUCUUAUAAGUCUGUCGUUAAAGCACACAGCUUAACUGUGGGAGAGCGAUGGAAACUGUGAGACUAGAGUGCGGUAGGGGUAGGGGGAAUUCCCGGUGUAGCGGUGAAAUGCGUAGAUAUCGGGAAGAACACCAGCAGCGAAACGCCCCUACUGGGCSGCAACUGACGCUCAUGGACGAAAGCUAGGGGAGCGAAAGGGAUUAGAUACCCCUGUAGUCCUAGCCGUAAACGAUGGACACUAGGUGUUGUCUGUAUCGACC